rnacentral:rRNA from 1 species
UCAAAGAUUAAGCCAUGCAUGUCUCAGUACAAACCAAAUAAGAAGGUGAAACCGCGAAUGGCUCAUUAAAUCAGCUAUUUUUUAUUUGAUAUUUAUACCCUGUUUUUCCUUGGAUAACUGUGGUAAUUCUAGAGCUAAUACAUGCCCAUAUAGUCCCUGACUUUACUGUCAGGGCGCUCUUGUUAGUAUCAAAACCGGUAACAGACUUUGGUCUGUAAACCAACCUAUGAUGACUCUGGAUAAUUUAUAGCUGAGCGCACAGUCCUUGUACUGGUGCUGCUUCUUUCAAGUGUCUGCCUUAUCAGCUUUCGAUUGUAAGUUAUGUGCUUACAAUGGCUAUAACGGGUGACGGGGAAUCAGGGUUCGAUUCCGGAGAGGGAGCCUGAGAAACGGCUACCACAUCCAAGGAAGGCAGCAGGCACGCAAAUUACCCACUCCCAGCACGGGGAGGUAGUGACGAAAAAUAACGAUGCGAGACUCAUCCGAGGCCUCGCAAUCGGAAUGAGUACACUUUAAAUCCUUUAACGAGGAUCCAUUGGAGGGCAAGUCUGGUGCCAGCAGCCGCGGUAAUUCCAGCUCCAAUAGCAUAUAUUAAAGUUGUUGCGGUUAAAAAGCUCGUAGUUGGAUUACCGUUCUGGACUGAUGGUACUUCGCCUUAUGGUGUUUACUAUCACGCUCCAAAACCGCCUACACAACGUAAAAGUUGUUGGGCUCCACCAGCUCGCAUGGGAUGCUCUUAACCGAGUGUCCUGAGUGGCUGGUAUGUUUACUUUGAAAAAAUUAGAGUGCUCAGAGCAGGCUAUAUGUAUUGCCUGAAUGACUAUGCAUGGAAUAAUGGAAUAGGACCUCGGUUCUAUUUUGUCGGUUUUCUUUGGAAUCCGAGGUAAUGACUAAGAGAGACAAACGGGGGCAUUUGUACUGUGGCGCUAGAGGUGAAAUUCUUGGACCGUCACAAGACAAACAACUGCGAAAGCAUUUGCCAAGGAUGUUUUCAUUAAUCAAGAACGAAAGUUAGAGGUUCGAAGGCGAUCAGAUACCGCCCUAGUUCUAACCAUAAACGAUGCUAACCAGCAAUCCGCCGGUGUUAUUCCCAUGACCCGGCGGGCAGCUUCCGGGAAACCAAAGUCUUUGAGUUUCGGGGGAAGUAUGGUUGCAAAGCUGAAACUUAAAGGAAUUGACGGAAGGGCACCACCAGGAGUGGAGCCUGCGGCUUAAUUUGACUCAACACGGGAAACCUCACCAGGCCCAGACACUGGAAGGAUUGACAGAUUGAGAGCUCUUUCUCGAUUCAGUGGGUGGUGGUGCAUGGCCGUUCUUAGUUGGU